UGUGUGGAGGUGUCGUUGGGG
rnacentral:misc_RNA from 1 species